GACAUGAAGGCUCCCACUCAGCUCCUGGGUCUCCUGCUGCUCUGGCUCCCAGGAGGCAGUUCUGAAAUCCAGAUGACCCAGACCCCAUCCUCGCUGUCUGCAUCUCCAGGAGACAGAGUCACCAUCACCUGCCAGGCCAGUCAGAAUGCUAACAAGUGGUUAGUCUGGUAUCAGCAGAAGCCAGGAAGAGCUCCUAAGCUCCUGAUCUAUGAAGCAUCCAAGUUGGAAACUGGGGUCCCAUCGCAGUUCAGCGGCAGUGGGUCUGGGACAGACUUCACCCUCACUAUCAGCAGCCUAGAGCCUGAAGAUGCUGGCCAACAGCACAACAGCUACCCAACCACAGCGUUACAGGUGUCCCUGAGAGAGGGCAUGUCCAUCACCUACAGGGUCAACGAGAGCGUCAGCGAUUACUUGAGCUGGUAUCAGCAGAAACCAGGUCAGGCUCCUCAGCUUCUCAUCUAUGAUGCUGAUAACCUCAAGUCUGGAGUCCCAGACAGGUUCUCUGCGAUUCAAUCAGACAGAGAAUUUAUCCUCAAGAUCAGCGCAGUAGAGGCUGAGGAUGCUGCCAGUUAUUACUGCCAGCGGGGUUCUAUCCUUCCUCCCACGGUGCUGCAGCCCUGA